AUUGAACGCUGGCGGCAUGCCUUACACAUGCAAGUCGAACGGUAACGCGGGGCAACCUGGCGACGAGUGGCGAACGGGUGAGUAAUGCAUCGGAACGUGCCCAGUAGUGGGGGAUAGCCCGGCGAAAGCCGGAUUAAUACCGCAUACGACCCACGGGUGAAAGCGGGGGACCGUAAGGCCUCGCGCUAUUGGAGCGGCCGAUGUCAGAUUAGGUUGUUGGUGGGGUAAAGGCCUACCAAGCCGACGAUCUGUAGCUGGUCUGAGAGGACGACCAGCCACACUGGGACUGAGACACGGCCCAGACUCCUACGGGAGGCAGCAGUGGGGAAUUUUGGACAAUGGGGGCAACCCUGAUCCAGCCAUGCCGCGUGCGGGAAGAAGGCCUUCGGGUUGUAAACCGCUUUUGUCAGGGAAGAAACGCUCUGGGCUAAUACCCUGGGGUAAUGACGGUACCUGAAGAAUAAGCACCGGCUAACUACGUGCCAGCCGCCGCAGUAAAAC
rnacentral:rRNA from 1 species